rnacentral:sRNA from 1 species
UGCGGGGUGACCCUGUGUUCGACACA